GAGGAAUUACUGGAAGUUGGGGAAUUCAGUGUUCAUACCAAGGGGCCUGGAGACUACCUAGAUGGUAUAUGAGGUGUUGCUCUUUCAACCCGAGUUUAGCCUCAUCAUGGCCGUAGAGGAGGCCAUUUAUGGACAUAUCCGAAUGGGAGUGUGAAGCAAAGUUGAAGUGGGUGGCAACCGGGAGAUCCUGUCUGUUGUGGCAGACAGAGUGGAGGUGCUUGACUUUUAUCGAAUCGGGGAGAAGAGGUGCAGAGAGACUUGAGUCCUCAUUCAAGAUUCCCAGAAAGUUAAUUUACAGGUUGAGCCUUUUAAAGAAGGCAAAUACAAUGUUGGCAUUUAUUUCAAGGGGAAUAGAAUAUAUAAACAAGGAGAUGAUGCUGAGGCUUUAUAAGACACUAGUUAGGCUGCACUUGGAGUAUUAACAACAGAUUUGGCCCCAUAUCUCAGAGGAUGUGUUGUCAUUGGAGAAAGUCUAGAGGAAGUUCAUGAGGAUGAUUCUGGGAAUGAAGGUGUUAACAUGGAGAGCAUUUGGCAGCUUUGGGAAUCUCAUUGAAACCUACUGAAUGUUGAAAGGACUAGAUAGAAGGGUGUGGAGAGGAUGUUUCCUAUGAUGGGGUUAUCCAAAACUAGAGGGCACAGCCUCACAAUUGAAAGAUGACCUUUUUAGAAUGGAGGCAAGGAGGAAUUUUUUUUUACCCAGUGGAGAAUCUGUGGAAUGCUUUGCCACAGACUGGGGUGGAAGCCAGCUCCGUGGAUGUAUUUAAUUUCCUUGCUUUGACCAUCAAAACAUCCAAAGCAUCAAAGACCCUUCAUGAUUUUCUAUAGGCCUUAAUGGCCUAUGAUUUCAGUCUGAGUCCAAUGUGAGAGCACUUUUUAGGAAUGUGAACUCUCAGAAAACAUCCAGCCCAUAUAUGGUACCUGUACCUGGCCAAGUACUAAAGAGGCAUGCUGAUCAACUGGCCAGAGCGUUCACUGACAUAUUUAACUUCUCACUUCAGCAGUCCGAGGUACUUCUGCUUCAAGCAGGUUUCAAUUAUGCCAUUGCCCAGGUAGAACGUGAUAACCUGACUCAAUGACCAUCAUUCAGCAGUGUUUUGCAUUCACUGUGGCCUGCUUUGAAAACCUGGUGAUGAAACAUACGAACUGCUGCUUAACAACAAGUUGGAUCUACUCCAAUUUGCCUACUGUCACAACAGGUCCACUGGAGAUGGAAUUUCAUUGGCUCUUCACUCAGAUAUGGAACAUGUAUACGACUUUGCUGUCCACAUCUAUCAACUCAUCAACUACAGCUCGGCAUUCAAUGUUAUCAUCCCUUCAAAACUAAUCAAUAAGCUUCAAGACCAAGGCCUUAAUAUCUUGUGAAAUUUGAUCCCUAAUUUCCUAACUUGGUAACCCCAGUCAGUUCAGAUUGGCAAAAACAUAACUUUCACUAUCUCCAUCAGCACCGGUGCACUGUAGGGCUGUGUGCUAAACUCCCUGCUCUACUUAUGACUGUGAGGCCAAGUACAGCUCCAAGACCAUAUUCACAUUUGUUGAUGACACCAGGAUCAUUGGCUAAAUUAGCAUAUGAUAGAGAUUGAAAAUCUGGUUGUGGUGCCACAACAAUAACUUUUCAAUGUCAGCAAGACCAAGGAGCUGAUUUUUGACUUCUGGAGGAGGAAACCAGAGGUCAGAAUCAUUAUCACUGUCAUGUUCUGUGAAAUUUGUUGGCAGCAGCAGUUCAAUGCAAUACAUAAUAUAGAAGAAAGAAUAAAUGUAAUAAUAAAUCUAUUACAGUAUACUUGAAUAGAUUAAAAAUUGUGCAAAAAUCAAAAAAUAUAUAAAAAGUGAGAUCGGGUUCAAUGAAUGCUGUUUCUGAAUUGCUGAGUGUGUGCCUUCAGGCUUCUGUAUCUCCUACCUGAUGGUAACAGUGAGGAAAAGGACAUUCCCUGGCUGCUGGAGGUCCUUAAUGGACACUGCCUUUCUGAGACACUACUCCUUGAAGAUGUCCUGGGUACUUUGUAGGCUAGUACAUAAGAUGGAGCUGACUAAAUUUACAACUUUCUGCAGCUGCAUUUAGUUCUGUGCAGUAGUCCCUCCAUACCAGACAGUGAUGCAGCCUGUCAGGCUGCUCUCCAUGGUACAACUAUAGAAGUUUGAGUGUAUUGGUUGACAUGCCAAAUCUCCAACUCGUAAUUAAGUAUAGUCACUGUCUUGCCUUUUUAACUGCAGAGAUAUGUUGGGGCCAGGUUAGAUCCUCAGAUCACCCAGGAACUUGAAGCUGCUCACUCUCUCCACUUCUGACCCCUCUGAAGAUUGUUAGGUGUUCCUUCAUCUUGCUCUUCCUAAAGUCCACAAUCAGUUCUUUUGUCUUACUGACAUUGAGUGCCAGGUUGUUGCUAUUACACCACUCCACUGGUUGGCAUAUCUCACUUCUGUAUGCCCUCUCGUUGCCACCUGAGAUUCUACCAACAAUGGUUGUAUCAUCAGCAAAUUUAUAGAUGGUAUUGAGCUAUACCUAGUCAUACUUAUGUGUAUAUAGAGAGAAGAGCAGUGGGCUAAGCACACACCCCUAGGGUGCACCAAUGUUGAUCAUUAGCAAGGAGAUGUCACCAAUCCUCACAGAUUGAGGUUUUCCAGUGAGGAAGUUGAGGAUCUAAUUGCAGAGGGAGGUACGGAGGCCCAGGUUCGUCAAUUUCUCAGUCAGGAUUUUGGGAAUGAUGGUAUUAAAUGCUGAGCUAUAAUUGAUGAACAGCAUCUUGACAUAGAUGUUUGUGUUGUCCAGAUCGUCUAAAGCCAGGUGAAGAGCCAUUGAGAUUUCAUCUGCUGUUGACCUAUUGUGCUGAUAGGCAAAUUGCAAUGGUCCAGGUCCUUGCUGAGGCAGGAGUUCAGUCAAGUCAUGACCAACCUCAAAGCAUUCUGAACUAGUCCUCAUUUAGAGAGGAUCAGCAACUUUAAAUUUCUCUGUUAACAUCUCAGGAUCUAUCCUGGGCCUAGCAAGUAAGUGUCAUUACGAAGAAACGAUGGCAGCACUUCUACUUAAGAGUUUGUGAAAAUUUGGCAUAACAUCUAACUGACAAACUUCUGCAGAUGCACAGUAGAGAGUAUAUUGACUGGUUACAUCAUUGCCUGGUAUGGAAACAGCAAAGCCUUUGAACAGAAACGCUUACAGAAGUAGUGGGUAUGGCAGAGUCCAUGGGUAAAGCCCAUCCCUGCAUUGAGCACAUUUAUAUGGAGCACUGUCACAGGAAAACAGCAUCCAUCAAGGACCCCCACCAUUCAGGCCAUGCUCUUUUUGCCACUGCCAUCAGGAAGCAGGUACAAGAGCCUCAGGACUCGCACCGUUAAGUUCAGGAACAGUUAUUACCCCUCAACUUUCAGGCUCUUGAACCAGAGGGACAACUUCAUUCAACUUCAUUUGCCCCAUCACUGAACUGUUCCUACGAUGGAUGUCCUUUCAAGAACUUGUCUCAUGUUCUCUACUGCUUAUUUAUUAUUAAUACUUUUUUCUUGUGUUUUGUGCACUGUCCUGUUGGGUGUGGGGUUUCUUGAAUUUACUAUAUACGCCCACAAGAAAACUAAUCUUGGAGAUGUGUACUUUGAUCAUUUAUUUUGAAUGUUGCUAUGGAGAAGUGGGGUGUAGAAAAAUAAAGAAUAGAAAAAUGACUGAAGAGUGGGAAUGGAUCUUUUGUGCUGAUUUAAAGUGGUCACUAGUACAGCAAACAGGAAAUUAAAUGGUAUGUAUUUGGGCAAGAGUGCAGGGAUGAGAUCUUGGCAGUAUUUUUUAGAUUAUGAGAACACUCAGUCCUCUUUUAUUGUCAUUUAGAAAUGCAUAUAUGCGUUAAGAAAUGAUGCAGUGUUUCUCUGGAGUGAUAUCACAGAAGACAAGACAGACCAAAGACUAACACUGACAGAACCACGUACAGGUUUCCCCCGCCAUCUGAAGGUAGAGCGUUCCUAUGAAAUGGUUCGUAAGCUGAAAGGUCAUAAAGUGAAGAAGCAAUUACCAUUUAUUUAUAUGGGAAAAUUUUGUGAGCGUUCGUAGACCCAAAAAUAACCUACCAAAUCAUGCCAAGCAACACACAAAACCUAAAAUAAUAGUAACAUAUAGUAAAAGCAGGAAUGAUAUGAUAAAUACACAGCCUAUAUAAAGUAGAAAUACUUCUCUACAAUGAUUGCCUGCACAGAUCUCCGUAGCGAAAAUCUCACGCAAGUGCUGUUGGCAUAAGCGCGCUCUCCAGUACCCUUUAAACUAUGAAGCUGCCAAAUCUACCAAAUAACAUGUAAAAAUACACAGCCUAUAUAAAGUAGAAAUUAUGUAUGUAUAGUGCAGUAUCACUUACCGGAAUUGGGAAAACAGCGCCGAGCACACUGAUGGUGUGUUAGACUGAGUCGUCGCAGGCUGGGUGGUGCAGUGGCAUUGCCUGAUUUGGGCCAACAAUUACGUGCUAGGUGGCACCUAAUUAAUUAGCAUGUUUAUUUCAGCUUUUUUCUUAAAAGAUGUGCUGUGUGCUUCCUGGCUACUGCUGCGUUCUUCAUGAAUCGCAGUAUCUGUCCGGGGCCUGGGUGUUGGUGUGGUGGGACACAAGGGUGUCAUCUCAUCGUCGAUCAGGGCAGGCAACUCAUCUUCUCCUAUGACUACUGGCCUCUAUGUUGAAGGUCGAGGUUCGUCGUUUGCUGUGGCUGAUGUGGAAGGCUUACUUGACUGCUGAGCCUCGCGCAUUUUUCUAUCACAGUUGUUUGUAAGCACUCAAACCAUCCUGCAAAUAUCCCCUAAACCUACGUACCCUUUCAAAAUUAAAGUCGUACUUUAUCACUGCAGCGAAAAUCUCAUGCAGUUGCUUCACUUUCUACAUUCGGUUUCAAUUGUUAUCCUUUCCUCUUCCGAUUGCAUUAGCUCUUCAUCUAUCAGUUCUUGGUCAUGGGAUGCCAAAACCUCUUCAACAUCUUCGUCAACUUCCACAAGCCAAACUCACUUUGUCCUUCGUUCACCACGAUUGAAACGCUUAAUUAUGUCUAGUUUUACGCUACGUGUAACACCCUUACUCUUUCAGGCUUUUCUGACACCUUAGAACUCAUCUUGCUAAUGACUGCUCAAUGCAACGUGUUAAAGCAAUGCCGUUCCGAAUCCAGGGGAGAGUGGCUGCUCGGGUGCACGCUGAUUUUUUUUUUUUAUUGCGUGCUGCCUUUCUUCGUAACAGUGAAAAUACCUAAAAGCGAAAACAGGGUACUAAUGUAGGUCUUUCGUAACAGUGAAGUUUCGUAAAGCGAACGUUCAAAAAGUGGGGGACACCUGUAAUUAUACAGCAGUGCAAAGCAAUACCACAAUUUGAUGAACAGACCAUGGGUACAGUUUGUUUUUUUUUAUAUAAAGUCCAGAGUCCAUCGACUCUGGAGUCCUCGAUAGCAGGCGCCAAAAGGAAGAAACUCCCUGCCAUAAACCUCCAGGCACCAUCAACUUGCCAAUACCUUGGAAGCAACCAACACUGAGUCCAUUCGUCCGAAAACUCCGAGCUUCUGACCAGCCUCUCCAAUACAGCUUCCCGAGUGCCAUCCUCUGCCGAGCACCUUCGACCUCUCCCCAGCCGCUGAAACACACAAAGCCGAGGAUUUCGGGGCCUUCAGCUCCGGAGAUUCUGGUUACCACACAGUAGUAACAGCAGCAGCGAAGUGGGAAUUUCAGCCUCUUUAAUGGAGGAACAAUUAUUCUUUGAUUGUGUAGUUUAGAUAUAAUUUUGAAUGAAGGGUAACAAAGUUUAGUAGAUAAAGGCCAGCUUGUACUAGUUUAGUAUUUUGGGUACAAUCUCAUUGAAAUGCACAAGAUUCUGAAAGAGCAACUGUUAAGCCAUGACCCUGUUGAGUGGCAGUGAAGACACUUGCAUCCAAGAGAAUUUUUUAAAUCAUUAUAGAUAGUCCAACCAGAAGAGGUUCCAUAUUGGACCUAGUAUUCAAACAUGAACCUAGCCAGUUGAUGUUUCAGUGGGGGAGCAUUUAGGAAGUAGUGACCAUACUUAAGAUGGCUAUGAAUAAGUAUAGAUCUUGCCAGAGUAUUGAAUUAGGAUGGGCAAAUUAGAAGAAUAUUAGCAACUAAGAAGUAAUUGGAAAGAGCUUUUUCUGUUCCACAUCUUGCAUGUGGGUGAUAUUUAAAGAUCUCUGCACAGAAUACAGGACAGUGAGGAAGGGCAGAGUUAGUCAAGUUUAUGGUCAUGCACAGGUGUGAUGGAAAACUAACUUGCAGCAGCAUCAGACACAGCCUCGUAUGCAGCAUUCACAGUGAAAACAAAUCAAGCCUAAAUUAAUCACAAACAAGAAAAUCUGCAGAUGCUGGAAAUCCAAGCAGGUUAAAAGUUGGAGGAACUCAGCAGGCCAGGCAGCAUCUAUGGAAAAGAGUACAGUCAAUGUUUCAGGAGUGGGUCUUGUCUGAAUGUUGACUGAUCUUUUUCCAUAGAUGCUACCUGGCCUGCUGAGUUCCUCCAGCAUUUUGUGUGUUGCAAGUCUAAAUUAAGCAAUUCUUACUUGGGGGGGGGGGCAGUGCUGGACACACAGAAUAAAAGGCUAUUUUAGUGGUCCAUGUUGCUAAUUUCUGGUUUAGGAAUGAAAUGGUUGAAGGAAGUAUUUGUGGUGUGGAACUUGGAGCUUCUGUACAUACUGCCUAAUAGUAGUCAUAAAAAGAUGCCCUGGUAAGAGAAUCUUGUAUGUUAAGAAAAGGAAAGUGUUCUGUAAGUUCUGAUCCCUUGGGUCGCGGUUGUAGAGCAAUACAGCACAGAUAAAGGCCCUUUGGUACUACAAGUCUAUGCUAGCCACAGUGCCAACCCUGCUAGUUAAAGCUUCCUGUGUUCUGCCCAUAUCCCUCUAAACCCUGACUCUCCAUAUACCUAUCAGCUGCUUAAGCAAUACUAUUGUACCUGUCCUAGCCACUUUCUUUGGCAGUGUAUUCAAUGUAUUCACCACCCUCUUCAGGAAGUAGCUGGGGAGGGGGCAUUGCCCCUUUUCCCACCAAAGUUCUUUGUAAACCUUACCCCUAACCUUAAAUCUAUACAUCCUUGUUUUGGAUUCCCCUACUGUGGGGAAAGGGCUUGCUGUCCACUUUAUCUAGGUAUUGCAUAACAUUAACGGCACAGGCCACCUUUUAUUAAAGGGAGGAUUUAGUAUGGAUAAAGCAGUGGCUGACUGGUAGGAGGCAAAGAAUAGGAAUAAAGGAGGCCUUUUCUGGUUGGCUGCCGGUGACUAGUGGUGUUCCACAGUUCUCUGUUUUGGAACCAAUUCUCUUUACAUUAUAUGUUAAUGAUUUGGAUGAUGGAUUUGAUGGCUUUGUUGCUAAGUUUGCAGAUGACACCAAGAUAGGUGGAGGGGCUGGUAGUUUUGUGGAAGUAGAGGGGCUACAGAAGGAAUUAGACAGAUUAGGAGAAUCGGAAAAGAAAUGGCAGAUAGAAUACAGUGUCGGUAGUGUAUGGUCAUUCACUUUGGUACAAGAAAUGAAAGGGUUGACUGUUUUCUAAAUGGAGAGAAAAUACAAACUGAUGUGCAAAGGGACUGGAGUCCUUGUAACAUGAAUCCCUAAAGGCUUGCAGGUUGAGUCUGUGAGAUAGACAAAUGAAUAACUAAAAUAUAAAAACAAGGAUGUAAUGUUAAGACUUUAUAAACACUGGUGAGGCCUCACUUGGAGUAUUGUAAGCAGUUUUGGGCCCCUUAUCCUAGAAGGGAUGUGCUGGAACUGGAAAGGGUUCAAAGGAGGUUCACAGAAAUGAUUUCAGGUUUGAACAGCUUGUCAUAUGAAGUGUUUGGCUCUGAGCCUGUACUCACUGAAAUUCAGAAAAAUGAAGGGUGACCUAAUUGAAAUGUAUUGAGGUGAAAGGCUUUGAUAGAGUAGAAGUGGAGAAGAUGUUUCCUAAGGUGGGAGAGUCUCAAACCAGAGGACACAGCCUCAGAAUAGAGGGGUGUCAUAUUAGAACAGAGGUGAGGGAUUUCUUUGGACAGUGGUGAAUCUGAAAUUUUUUGCCAUGGUGAGCUGUAGAGGCCAAGUCUGUAUGCAUCAUUAAGGUAGAGGUUGAUAGAUUCUUAAUUGGUCAGGACAUAAAGGGAUACAGGGAGAGGGCAUGAUAUUGGGACUGAGAAGGAAAGUGAUGAAGUGGCAGAGCAGACUCUGGGCCAAAUGGCCUAACUCUGUUCCUGUGUGUUGUAGUCCUGUGGUCUUAAAUAGUUUUACAAAGUUGCCCAUCCUUCGACAUUUUGAAGAAUAAAGAUCUAACCUCACCAAUCUCUCCCUAUAAUUUCAUCCCUCUGGUCCUGGCAACAUCCUCAAAUCUUUUCUGUGCUCUUUCCCAUUUAACCAUGUCUUUCGUACAAUGGGGUAACCAUAUCUCUGUCUGUGUCUACUCAGUACGGCUGAUCAGUCACUUGUACAACUGCACAUCAUAUUCUAACUCCCAUACCUAAUGCCCUGAUGGUCAAUAUACAAAACAUGUUAUAAUAUAUGGUGAAGGAAGGAUGAUGUAAUCAGGGUUGCCAAGGGAAGUUAAAGAUGGCAUAAACACAGACAUGUAUACAUAUAGCAAAAAUUACUGGGAAGUUAAAGGAUUGGGAAACUUUUUAAAAACCAACAGAAGGCACCUAAAGCUAGCCAAUAAUAUAAGAUGCCAAAAGUUUUUUCAGAUGAGAUGAGAGUAGAUAUUGCACCACUGGAAAAUGAGGCUAGGAGACAGUAAUGGCAGAUAAAGUUUCUCCAACACCGUCAGGCUGAACAACCUGUAGUUCCUUGGCUUGUACAGGUCGAUUUCCACUAAUCCGACUACCUGUAAUCCUGUUCCUUCGAUAUCCGCACUGAUUUCAGAUUUUCUGCACAACUAUAAUUUCAAAUUUUCCGGGCUACCGUACCAAUCUGCUGUGCAUUGUUUUGGUUACCCUAGAUCUGUUCACGUGUUCGCGCGCUCUUGUAAGCUCAGACAGCCAAUUCCUGCUUGUUUUCCUGCAUUUAAUAUUUGCUUAAGGUGCGACCACCCGGCACCCUCCCAUCUCACCCACCAGUGGCGGUGGAGUUGGUACGCACUGGGUCAGUCCGUCUGCUGGCAGUCGUGCACUGCCCUCCAGUGUCACCCAGCCGGCGCUCCAUUCUCUCCUGCCUGUGACCUCAUAUCAGAUGUGGUGACCCGCUGAACUUAAGCAUAACACUGAGCGGAGGGAAAAAAACUAACAAGGUUUCCCUCAGUACCUGCGAGUGCAAUGUAGUCUUUGGGGUAACUGCAAGUCUGUGUCUUUGCUAUCACUUAGCUCACGCUUGAGUGCUGGUAGUGGAUGCACUUUAUUUUUUGCUGGUGGGGAGGGGUUCUAACAUUUAACUCUUCAUUUUUUGGGGCACUCCUCUGUUUUCGUAGAUGGUUGUGAAGAAAAAGCAUUUCAGGAUGUAUAUUGUAUACAUUUCUGACAUUAAAUGAAUCUUUGAAUCCUUUGAUAUUUUAAGAAGUAUGAUGAGGUGGUUAGCUAUGGCUAAAUGUGACCUUCUGUAAUUCAGCAUUUUCACUAAUCCGGCACUCCUCAGGUCCCGGAUUAUAGAAGGUCGACCUAUACUUCCUCCAUUUGUGAAGCAUUAGAAAAGAGCUCUAGGAGAAUUGGAGUCAGGAGGAUUCAUGAAAUGUCAUUGGCAAGUAAGACAAGAUCCCAAGGCAUUCUUCUAUACCUGUGUCAAGGACUGAGGCAGAGCCCUCCCCACCAUUGAAUACAUUUACAUGGAAGCUCCCACAUGAAAGCAACUUUGGAGCUACAACUUUUGUAAGUUUUUUUCACUUCCAUAGCUUGUCUUUUGCACGUUGGUUGUUGGUCUGUCUGCAUCUAUAGUUUUAAGUUCUAUUUUCUUGUAAAUGCCUGUAAGAAAAUGAAUCUUAAGGUAAUAUGUUAAUAUUGUACUUUAUAAUUUUACUUCUGAGUUUGGUGCUUGGAGUGGAAGACAUGGGCAAGAUGCAAUUUGUGUACUUCAUCUUUACCAAGGAACCAGAUGUGGAGUGCUAAUAUUCCAGGGACAUAUGACCUUACGAGAAAGGUAGUGUUGGAUCUCUUAAAAUGUUAAGACAUUCAGCAAAGAACAAUGUCUACAGUAUCAUUAGUUGCUGUGGUGGCAAGAUCGGUUUGAAGACCUCUUAAUU